GUGGAGCGUGAGCCGCAGAUAAUGGGGGGCUGCUGGAAAUGGAGUGCUCCGCGUGUUCUCUGUUUCCGGCUUCCUUCACUCGGUGCUUUUGAGGUGUGCAUGUCAUUUGACGCUUCUUUCUGCUGGGAGCGCCUCAGCGAGCGACUGUGCCACAAGUCAGCCGUCCCCUGCUGGUGGACAUUUGAGUUGUUUCCAGUCUUAGCUA
rnacentral:lncRNA from 10 species